rnacentral:rRNA from 1 species
GAUGAACGCUGGCGGCGUGCCUAAUACAUGCGAGUCGAGCGAACGGACGAGAAGCUUGCUUCUCUGAUGUUAGCGGCGGACGGGUGAGUAACACGUGGAUAACCUACCUAUAAGACUGGGAUAACUUCGGGAAACCGGAGCUAAUACCGGAUAAUAUUUUGAACCGCAUGGUUCAAAAGUGAAAGACGGUCUUGCUGUCACUUAUAGAUGGAUCCGCGCUGCAUUAGCUAGUUGGUAAGGUAACGGCUUACCAAGGCAACGAUGCAUAGCCGACCUGAGAGGGGGAUCGGCCACACUGGAACUGAGACACGGUCCAGACUCCUACGGGAGGCAGCAGUAGGGAAUCUUCCGCAAUGGGCGAAAGCCUGACGGAGCAACGCCGCGUGAGUGAUGAAGGUCUUCGGAUCGUAAAACUCUGUUAUUAGGGAAGAACAGAUGUGUAAGUAACUGUGCACAUCUUGACGGUACCUAAUCAGAAAGCCACGGCUAACUACGUG